UACGGAGGGAGCUAGCGUUGUUCGGAAUUACUGGGCGUAAAGCGCACGUAGGCGGUUAUUCAAGUCAGAGGUGAAAGCCCGGGGCUCAACCCCGGAACUGCCUUUGAAACUAGAUGACUAGAACCUUGGAGAGGUCAGUGGAAUUCCGAGUGUAGAGGUGAAAUUCGUAGAUAUUCGGAAGAACACCAGUGGCGAAGGCGACUGACUGGACAAGUAUUGACGCUGAGGUGCGAAAGCGUGGGGAGCAAACAGG
rnacentral:rRNA from 1 species